rnacentral:rRNA from 1 species
CGCCUCUUGAAACUACAUAAGAGGUCCAGCCUGCCCAGUGACUAAGUUCAACGGCCGCGGUAUCCUAACCGUGCGAAGGUAGCGUAAUCACUUGUUCUUUAAAUGAGGACUAGUAUGAAUGGCACCACGAAGGUUAUGCUGUCUCCUUUUUCUAAUCAAUGAAACUGAUCUCCCCGUGAAGAAGCGGGGAUAUAUCUAUAAGACGAGAAGACCCUAUGGAGCUUUAAAUCAUGUAACACUGGCUUUCACAUUAAAAUAUUCCAGAAUUUUUCAUAAUUACUCUAGCCACUAUGAUUACUAGUUUUAGGUUGGGGUGACCACGGAGCAAAAAUUAACCUCCAUGUUGAACGGAGCUACUCCUGAGCCAAAAGCCACGACUUUAAGCACUAAUAAAUUAACAUUAAUUGACCCAAUAUUUUUGAUCAACGAACCAAGUUACCCUAGGGAUAACAGCGCA